rnacentral:rRNA from 1 species
UGAACGCUGGCGGCGUGCCUAAUACAUGCAAGUCGAGCGAACGGACGAGAAGCUUGCUUCUCUGAUGUUAGCGGCGGACGGGUGAGUAACACGUGGAUAACCUACCUAUAAGACUGGGAUAACUUCGGGAAACCGUAGCUAAUACCGGAUAAUAUUUUGAACCGCAUGGUUCAAAAGUGAAAGACGGUCUUGCUGUCACUUAUAGAUGGAUCCGCGCUGCAUUAGCUAGUUGGUAAGGUAACGGCUUACCAAGGCAACGAUGCAUAGCCGACCUGAGAGGGUGAUCGGCCACACUGGAACUGAGACACGGUCCAGACUCCUACGUGAGGCAGCAGUAGGGAAUCUUCCGCAAUGGGCGAAAGCCUGACGGAGCAACGCCGCGUGAGUGAUGAAGGUCUUCGGAUCGUAAAACUCUGUUAUUAGGGAAGAACAUAUGUGUAAGUAACUGUGCACAUCUUGACGGUACCUAAUCAGAAAGCCACGGCUAACUACGUG